CACUCCUACGGGAGGCAGCAGUGGGGAAUAUUGCACAAUGGGCGCAAGCCUGAUGCAGCCAUGCCGCGUGUAUGAAGAAGGCCUUCGGGUUGUAAAGUACUUUCAGCGGGGAGGAAGGCGAUAAGGUUAAUAACCUUGUUGAUUGACGUUACCCGCAGAAGAAGCACCGGCUAACUCCGUGCCAGCAGCCGCGGUAAUACGGAGGGUGCAAGCGUUAAUCGGAAUUACUGGGCGUAAAACGCACGCAGGCGGUCUGUCAAGUCGGAUGUGAAAUCCCCGGGCUCAACCUGGGAACUGCAUUCGAAACUGGCAGGCUAGAGUCUUGUAGAGGGGGGUAGAAUUCCAGGUGUAGCGGUGAAAUGCGUAGAGAUCUGGAGGAAUACCGGUGGCGAAGGCGGCCCCCUGGACAAAGACUGACGCUCAGGUGCGAAAGCGUGGGGAGCAAACAGGAUUAGAUACCCCUGUAGUCCCA
rnacentral:rRNA from 1 species